rnacentral:rRNA from 1 species
ACGCUGGCGGCAUGCCUAAUACAUGCAAGUCGAGCGAACAGAUGAAGUGCUUGCACUUCUGACGUUAGCGGCGAACGGGUGAGUAACACGUAAGGAAUCUACCUAUAAGCGGGGGAUAACAUUCGGAAACGGGUGCUAAUACCGCAUAAUAUCUUCUUCCGCAUGGAAGAAGAUUGAAAGACGGCUCUGCUGUCACUUAUAGAUGACCUUGCGGUGCAUUAGUUAGUUGGUGGGGUAAUGGCCUACCAAGACGAUGAUGCAUAGCCGACCUGAGAGGGUGAUCGGCCACAUUGGGACUGAGACACGGCCCAAACUCCUACGGGAGGCAGCAGUAGGGAAUCUUCCGCAAUGGGCGAAAGCCUGACGGAGCAAUGCCGCGUGAGUGAAGAAGGCCCUCGGGUCGUAAAACUCUGUUAUAAGAGAAGAACAAAUUGUAGAGUAACUGCUACAGUCUUGACGGUAUCUUAUCAGAAAGCCACGGCUAACUACGUG